rnacentral:lncRNA from 1 species
GCCGGCGCCCGACGUGCGGAAGAGGCUCCUGGAGCUGCUCGUCCUCCUCACGGAGUGCUUCCCCCGCUCCGUGCUCAUGACCGUGCUCUUCAUCUGCCCGUCCCAAGAAAGGUACCGGCCCCCGAGCCUCCAGGGCGCCCCAAACCGCAGCCCCCGGGGCUCCCCCGAUAACCCCGCGGGGCCCCCGCCGAUAACGCCCUCUCCGUGCCCGCAGCGCCUCGAUGGACAUGUGGGAGGUGAUGUUUGCCGUGCCCGCCAUGGCGAAGCGGCUCCUGCACGAGCUCCACCUGCUGCUGCACGACAGGAACAUCCGCGAGUUCCUCGGGGUGGCCGAGGACCUCAGCCUCGUCCGCCUCAGCCUCCUCUACGCCCAGCGCCCCGAAGACCCCGUCCCCAAGGAGCUGCGGGACGUGGAGUGCCUGCAGCGCUGCCUCAGGACCGCCAACUUCCACCUGCUCUGGCUGGCGCUCAAAGGCCUGGCGGCGCUGAUGGAGAGGCCGCAGCUGGUGAGCCUCCGCCCUCUUCCCCUCCCCGCUCCCGGCCUCGGCUGGCGGCGCGGCGGCCUCCUCACGCCCCGGUGUUUUCGGCGCAGGCCAAGGCAGGGCAGUGCCUGCUGCCGGACGUGCUGGAGACCCUGCAGUUCGGCAAGCCCCACAUCACGGCGGCGGCCCUGGCGGUCUGCGGCAACAUCCUCGGCAUCGUGGAGAAGAAGGCGGCCAGCCUCACCGCCCUCGAGCUGGUCGACGUGGUCAAGCCUCUCCUGGACAACGUAAGCGGGAGGACGAGCCUCCGCGGCCCCGCGGCGCCCGCCCCGUGCCGGAGCCACGCAGCCGAAACGCCCCGUCCCCCUUCCUCUUCCUCUUCCCCAGGAGGCCGCCGCGGUGCGGGAGAGCUCCAUGAAGCUCUUCAAGGCGGCCAUGGAGCGCGUGCUGUGGAGGCACAAGACGCAGAUGUGGAAGAAGGUGCGCAAGAUCCUCGUCCCGCUCUACCUGCGCAUGAGCGACGAGACCCACAGCGUGGCCAAGGCCUCCCAAGAAGCCCUCAUGGCGGCGGCGGAGCUCUUGUGGUGGGAUGAGCUGAAGGACGUGGCCCACAUGGAGCAGACCUGGAGGAUCAGAGCGUGCCUGGUGAGGGCGGCCUCCGCGGCGAGGCUGGCGGGGGGCUCUCGGGGGCUCCCCGAGGUGGGGGGGAAGAAACGGGGCCGGGGAGGCUCACCGAGCCUCGCGGCCUCUCCAGCUGCAGCAGGAUCGAGACCGGGUAGAGAAGCGCCUACAGCAGAGCCGGGCGUACCUGGAGGACCCUCAGGCAUCCGUGCGCGAGGAGACCGUGAGGUUCAUCGGUGAGGCCACCUCCCUGCCCCAGCGGCCUCCGCAAGAGGCCCCGCGGCCUCCCCUCGCCCUGCCCGGGGCGGAGGCUGACGGGCGGCUUUGCUCCUAGGGCUCGCCGCGGAGCUCCUCCAGGACCAGAGCGAAGAGAAGCUGCGCGAAAUCAUCGACAGUGAGUGAGGGGAGCACUGGAGGCCGGGCGGGGGAGGACUGGAGGCCGGGCCUCCGCCCCGGGGGAGGCGCGGUGGAGGCUGGGGGGGGGAACGAAUCGGGGGGGCCGCGGGGCGCUCGGAGCGGCUGCUCCCCGCGUUCCUCCCGGCUGGGGGGCUCCCGGAGGGGUCUCCGCGGCCCGAGCGGAGGCUCCAGCCUCUCUCCGUCCUCCCGCAGUCCUGCAGCCCAUGAUGCACGACGCGGCGCCCUCGGUGCGCGCGGAGACCUCCCGCACCAUCCAGGCCCUGCUGCAGCAUCGCAAGUGGCUCCGGCGGCUGCCGGUGCCGUGGAACCCGCUGGCGGCGCUCUGCUGCUGGCCUCGAAGGCGCCGCCAGAGGCCGAAGACCGAGCCCCAGCCCGAGGAGAGCCCAGAAGGUUCCGGCUCUGAAGGGACGUCCAAGGACCCAUCCCCCUGCCAGAGCAAGGACGACUAGCUCACCUCACGGCCGCAGGGGGUUCGGAUGCCUGCAGAGGAGCCUCCGCACCCCCCCCGGGCAGCCUGCUCCACGUUUUGCCGCCCUCACCACAAAUAAAUUUCGUCCCCAUGUUUGUCCGGUGCCUCCU